CUUCACACACACACAUACACACACACACACACACACACACAUAAUAUCUUACUGUGAAACACUGGUGCUAAUUGGUUUCUUUCUCCUGAUUAACAGGUCUUGGAUUCAGGGAUCGAGAAAGAAUAUACCCAGCCAUAUUAUUUGCUGCAAAAUGCAGAUAGCCUGUUUUACAAGAUGGUGCAAACACUGGGCAAGGCAGAGGCCUCUGCCCUCACUGAAAGGGCAAAACAGGUGCACUCUGAAAGGAAAUAACCAGAUUUCACUCACAGUGACUGUGUGGUUAUGAAUAUUAUGAAUGACAAGCGGACAACCCUCAGCCUUCACAAUUUUUGAGUCAACUCUAUGAUUCUACCAUGAGUUCAUGUCUAUUCCAAAGGCAUUUUUCCAAUAGGUUUAUGCACUGCAUAAAUUAUAUUAUAUAUUUUUUUACACCAGCAACAGAUAUUUACAUAUUACAAAUAUUAAUCUAUAAUUUUUUCUCCAACUUCACUCAGUGGGUUCAGGCUCUUGCAAAAGGAUUUUUUAUGUUUAUUUAUAUGUAAUACUAUUUUCUUUUUUAUCCAGAUCAGCAGUGCAGGCCACCAAUAAGCUGGUUUUGUGUCUUGAGAGAUUCUGGAGCCAAACUCAUUUUAUAAGAUUUGAGACAAAAUUCUCACAGAUUUUUUUUUAAACUGUUCCCAGAAUUGCAUAUUACUUUCUAAUUAUAUUAGGGAUUCUUGA